CGAGCAGUGGGGAAUAUUGCACAAUGGGCGCAAGCCUGAUGCAGCCAUGCCGCGUGUAUGAAGAAGGCCUUCGGGUUGUAAAGUACUUUCAGCAGUGAGGAAGGUGGGUAUGUUAAUAGCAUACUCAUUUGACGUUAGCUGCAGAAGAAGCACCGGCUAACUCCGUGCCAGCAGCCGCGGUAAUACGGAGGGUGCGAGCGUUAAUCGGAAUUACUGGGCGUAAAGCGCAUGCAGGUGGUUUGUUAAGUCAGAUGUGAAAGCCCGGGGCUCAACCUCGGAAUUGCAUUUGAAACUGGCAAACUAGAGUACUGUAGAGGGGGUAGAAUUUCAGGUGUAGCGGUGAAAUGCGUAGAGAUCUGAAGGAAUACCGGUGGCGAAGGCGGCCCCCUGGACAGAUACUGACACUCAGAUGCGAAUGCGUGGGGAGCAAACAGGAUUAGAUACCCUGGUAG
rnacentral:rRNA from 1 species